UACGGAAGGUCCGGGCGUUAUCCGGAUUUAUUGGGUUUAAAGGGAGCGCAGGCGGACCUUUAAGUCAGCUGUGAAAUACGGCGGCUCAACCGUCGAACUGCAGUUGAUACUGGGGGUCUUGAGUGCACACAGGGAUGCUGGAAUUCAUGGUGUAGCGGUGAAAUGCUCAGAUAUCAUGAAGAACUCCGAUCGCGAAGGCAGGCAUCCGGGGUGCAACUGACGCUGAGGCUCGAAAGUGCGGGUAUCAAACAGG
rnacentral:rRNA from 1 species